CUGUCUUUUCCAAACACAACAAGCUCACCGCCACACACUGCCCUUCCUGUGACUUUGAAUCCAGAGACCACCAGGCCCAAAAGCCACCUGGAGGAUUUCUGUCUCUGUGGUGGUCAGAAGGGCUGAGAGCAGAACGCAGGCCAGAAGACGAUGUCAGAACCCCCUAGAACUGGAGUUACAGACAGGUAGGGAACCCACAACAGACCAAAGCAUGGAUGCUACCCAAGCCCAACAUGGUGAACCGAUGAACCUCCAAAGCACACCCCAGACACGGGUGACAUCUCACAGAAGCUGGGAACCUGAGCACAAGACACAGCUUCUGUGAGCUCAGCAGGUUGUUUCAGAAGUUUAGUCCAUUAUCAAGACGGCACGGAGCAUGAAGGCACACAGGCAGACGCGAUGCUGGAGAAGGACCCGAGAGCUCUGUAUCCGGAUCCAUGGACAGCAGGGGAGAUACUGCGACGAUGCCUGCUUCCCAUGUGCGGGGACAGAGGUGUAGAAAAGCAUUUGCCCAAUAUCAAGAUGACGAAGAAAAGGGAAAGGCCAACGUGGUCAACUCUGGGGCACUUCACCGACUAUUUCUACCAGCCUUAGCUGCAGAAACCUCGUCCCAAGAAGAGCUUUGAAUUAGCCAUAUCCGGUGAGUGACCUGAUUCUGUGUACCCAGAGGUCCACUCUGGACGAGAGAGCUUCCCCAGGGGGUGCUAGCCGCACCUAACUGUCAUAAAGGAUGCUGGCCCCAGAGCUCACAGCAUACCUCCGUUGCACCUCUGUGCCUGCCCCACAUCUGAGCUCAUGAACUCUCAUCAGUAUCGCCUCCAGUCUUUUGGGCCUGCUUGGAACCUUUACUUUCUUUGGCUGACCUCGAAACCCGUCCUGGCUGGGUCACAGCCAGGACAACAGCCUUGUUUCCACUGGAGAGCCUGGGUGCAUUCUAUGGCAGUGAUUUAACCAAAGAUUUCCCCCAGACCUGAUUUUACCCACUGCCCCUUGCUACCUCUGAAGGUCCAGGGGAAACACCCCACCUUGGCCUGAGGUGUGUGGCUAUUAACCUUUCCAGGAAAGUGACUGUGGCAACCGUGGUUAUAAAGGUGACCAGUUACAGAACCUAGCAGCCCUGCUUUCUGUCUGUGCAAGGGUGGAAGCCAGUGGCCCGAGCCAACCAGAUGAUCGCCUGAGCCGAGCAGGCGAGCCAGAGCUGAGCAGGCGAGCCAGAGCUAAUCAGAGGAGCACCUGACUUCCAGCUUUAUAUUACCAUUUUUUCCUUUUAAUUUCUUCUUCUCACAUAUAUUACAUCCUGACCACAGUUUUCCCUCCAUCCCCUCCCCCCAGUCUCUUCUCCUUCCACCUCUGCUCAGAAAAGAGCACACCACUCCGGAACACCACCCAAACGUGGCACAACAAGCUACAGUAAGACCAGGCACAUAUUCUCACAGCAAGGCUGGGCAAGGCCACCCAGUAGGAGGAAAUGAGCCCCAAAGGCAGGCAGAAGAGCCAGAGAGAGCCCCUGUUCCCACUCUUAGGAGAAGACCUAGCUCAGACCCCUGCAGGCUCCCUCAUCUCUGAGUCCCUCAUCUCCCCAUGAGUCCUGGUCAGUUGAUUCUGUGAGCCGUGUUUGUGUGGUGUCCUUGACCCCUGAGGCUACUCCAACCCUUCUUCCCCCUCUUCUGUAGGACCCCCGAGCCCCGUCUAACAUUUGGCUGUGGGACAGGGCACCUGCUUCCAUCAGUUGCUGGAUGAAGUCUCUCUGGUCUCUUUGAGGACAAUGACGCCAGAUUUAAUAACGGGAUGCUACACUCUACAUUUAAUGAAGCAUAUUCAUUAUUGGCCAUCUCUGCACCUGGGUCACCAGUCCAUCAAUAUCUUCAUUCACAGUUUCCUGUCAAAACUGCUUUUUUUUUUUUUUCCUUUGCAGGCAUCAGCUCCACCCCAAGGUGGCAUCUAGGCACUCCAAACAUUCACGAACCUACAUCUUAGUAGCUGUGAGUUUAUUUAUUCUUUUUGUUUGCUUGUUUUGUUUCUCUUGAGACAGGCUCUCUCUAUUGUGUAGCUCUGGCUGUCCUGGAACUCACUAUGUUAAUUAAACUGGCCUCAUAGAAAUCCACCUAUGUCUAUGCUAUUCUUUUUUUUUUAAAGAUUUAUUUAUUUAUUAUAUAUAAAUACACCGUAGCUGUCUUCAGACAAAGUGCUGGGAUUAAAGGGGUGUGUCACCAUGCCUG
rnacentral:lncRNA from 1 species